UGAGCAAUCUGCCCUUCACAUCGGAAUAACCAUUGGAAACGAUGGCUAAUACCGAAUAUGACUUCGGAUCGCAUGAUCUGAAGUGGAAAGCUCCGGCGGUGAAGGAUGAGCUCGCGGCCUAUCAGCUUGUUGGUGAGGUAAUAGCUCACCAAGGCGAUGACGGGUAGCCGGCCUGAGAGGGUGACCGGCCACACUGGGACUGAGACACGGCCCAGAUCCGUACGGG
rnacentral:rRNA from 1 species